UGUCAACUCCCCAAAACCAUAAAACUAACUUUAUGGACCUCACGUGACUUUCUCGAGCCAGUGAGGGGUAUCUGUCUGACUUCUCGGCGAUUUUUACGAUCUAACUUCGAGAUAAAACCCCUAUCCAUUUGACAUCUAAAUGUCAUAGCGACUUUUGGGAUAGUUUGCUAUGGACAAAGGGGGACAAAGUCAAGGGGUGAGGGGGAAGGAGGGCCCAGUAGAGCCUCUACGACCCUUGGCUGCCUCCUCACCAGCUCCCCCUCCCCCCAAGUCCUGUAAGAAGUUGGGCCAAGCUGGAAGGGAUUGACCGGGUUGCCUGUCGUGAGAUGGAGCCGCAAAGGCAGGGCCUGGGCGCCUGGAGUCCAGCAUGAAAGGAAAUAGCGCCUCAUCGCUCUUAUCUAAGCCCAGAGCCGCGCCUCCUCGCCCUCUCGGGCCUCUGCGGAGACUCCAGGCCCUCCAGAGACCAGGACGUCCCUCAGCGCCACCGCCCCUUGUGCCAGUGCCGCCGGGAAACCGCCGAUACCCACGCUGGGCAAGAGAAUUGCGCGGGGGGCAACUGGGGGAGGCCGGAACAAGGGAGGGAGAGUGGGAGGGGGAGGGGGUGCACACCCACAGAGGUGGUAGUAACCGGCUUCUGGGGCGCCCUGUAGCCCAGACACCCCAUCCUCUCUUUCGAACCCCCCUCACUUGAGCCUCCUCUCCCAGCUUAAAAAGGCAUCUCAGAGCUCGCCUCCGUGGCCCCUUUCGGUUCCUCCUCCCAUCUUCCCUGCCUUGGCUCCCCCUCCAGGAAGCAGCCACCCCCUCUCUCUCGGCCACCGAAUUUCCUGGGAAGCCUCUCCCUGCAGCGCCCAGAGGUGGGGUUCAGCCCCAUCUUGGGGUGGGGGUGAGAGGGAGACAAACCUAAGCCCCACCCCCUACAGAAUCGGUGCAAAAGAAUAAGAAGAGAAUUGUAGAAUCUCUCUUACCUUUGUAGACCUUGGGAUUUCUUCCCUCCGAUUGAAAGAGGUGAGGAGGAAGGGGGGCGGAAAGCGUUCUGUUUCUUCUUCAUCUUCCAGAUAAUAUUGUCCCAACCUGAGAGCCGUCGCUUCCCCUUCUCUGACUUGGGAGAGAGGGUGUUUCGCUUUUCUGAUAUUUGCAUAGAAAAUGGAAAGAUUCCAGGUCGCCGGCAGCGCGGACCGCGGGCAGCAAGGCGCGGAGGAAGCCGGCGGAGCUUGGCGCCCGGGCGCGGCCGGGCGCCGAACGGCCGGGGAUGCGGCCACACUAGCCGGGUAACCUUGCCCCGCUCAGGAACCCGUUCUCAGGGAUCAUCUACUCCUCCCCCACAAUUCAAAAAUUUUAUUUGGAUCGCUGUGUUAAUUUAGAAUGAGAUAAAUGGAAGUAAAAUAAGUUGAAAUAAAA